rnacentral:rRNA from 1 species
CGGGGGGGUGCAAGCGUUAUUCGGAAUCACUGGGCGUAAAGAGCGCGUAGGCGGUCUCUUAAGUCAGAUGUGAAAAGCCCGGGGGCUCAACCCCGGAAGUGCAUUUGAAACGAAGGGACUUGAGUAUGGGAGAGGGAAGUGGAAUUCCUGGUGUAGCGGUGAAAUGCGUAGAUAUCAGGAGGAACACCGGUGGCGAUGGCGACUUCCUGGACCAAUACUGACGCUGAGGCGCGAAGGCGUGGGGAGCAAACAGGAUUAGAUACCCUGGUAGUCCACGCAGUAAACGUUGAACACUAGGUGUAGCGGGUAUUGACCCCUGCUGUGCCGCAGCUAACGCAUUAAGUGUUCCGCCUGGGGAGUACGGCCGCAAGGCUA